AGCGAAAUUCCAAUUUCCUAACUGCGCAUGUCGUAGCGUAGGCGCGCUAGCCAUUCCUUGACGUCGGGACCCGCCACGAAUUAUAAAUACGACUGCUUCGGGGCUUACUCCAUCUUUCAGACAAAGGCUAGCUCACUUUUUUUCAUCACGUUGGAGAAAAGAGCCACAUUGAAUUUGGCCAUUCAUGUGUGAGACGUGUUCAAAAAUACAGUGAAUGCUGCUGCUGAGAGCCAUCAAAGGGAUAAAAGAGGGAUCUUCAAUAUAAGCAGUAGCUUUGUGGAACCUUAGAAACAGUGUUACAAGUUUUUAUCUUGUUGGUAUCAGUGGGUUGUGAGCUACCUUUGAGAGAUAUUUUCAGCUCUUGCAAAUAAUGGAUCAUGAACAGCGCAUUAAUGUGGAAUUUUGUUUCAAACUGCAAAAAACUGCUAAAGAAACACAUGAAAUGUUAAAAUUAGUAUAUGGUGAUGGUGCAGUGACCAUGGAGACAGUUUGCGAAUGGUUUGAGCAGUUUCGUAAUGUUUGUGAGUCAGUUGAAGACAAAAAGAAUAUCCUUCAACAUCAAAAACCCAAAAAAAGAUUGAAAGAAUAAGUGAAGUAAUCGAAUCAAACAGACAGCUGACUCCUAGGGACAUUACAGAGGAUACAAAGGACUGGCAAAUGAACCCUGGACCUUUCCUUCGAGCUGCAUCCUCAUGGCCAACCCCUUUUUUAUGAAAUUGUCUCACUAGGCUGCCAAACUUGACUUGAACUUGAAGCUCUCCUCUUCAGCCUCACAGAGUGUUGGGCUACCUCCUGCUUCUCCUGCACUUAAGUCUAAAGUUCUCAGCUUGCUUUGUGUAAGUUAAGUCAGUGGAAACCUUGAGAAAGCCCUGCUCUCACUACCACCAUGUUAUUCACAUCUAAUUUCCGUUUUAAUAAAAAUGACUUUAAAGUCUGUA